GAUCAGAGUACUUCUACUCAGUACUAGAUCAGAGUACUUCUCCACCUCUGCUCUGAUUGGUAAACUGGUGAUGUUUCAUUAUAUAAGAGUAGUGGACAGAAGAGAUUUCUGAAACUGAAUGGCUGAAGUUUAACUGAUAGCAUGCUAAUGUUAGCAGUGUGUUAUUUCACUGAUUACUAAAGUGAAGCAGUUUUUCCAGAUGUGUUUUUAAUCGGAGUUCUUGAUGUUGUUCAGGUGGAAGAAGUCUCUGAGCUGGGAACCUCCUCAGAUCCUCUGCUGUGAGUUACUCUAUCUGCUCAAUGAAGAAACUACAGGUCUCAGAGACAUGGAGCAACAUGUGAAGCUGAACAGACUGCCCAACACAGACUCGCCACCGGCCCUUUAUAUAGACCGGCCUCUUGGACUUAGGACCAGAGAGGCUGCAGGACACCGAGUUGGACCUCUGACGUUACACCAAGCAGCAUGUGAAGCUGAAAGGAGGAGAUGACCUCCAGCUGACCUCUGACCUCCAGGUGACCUCCAGACCAGCUGGUCCUCCUCUCCUCCUCUCCUCAUGACCCUGGACUCAGUGGCAGAAAGCAGACUGAGGCAGCGCUCCAUGUGAAGACAUGAAGACCCCCUGCUGUCCAGGACUCCCACCUUCAGGCCUCCUGUGUUCCUGAUCCAAUCAGCUGUGAGGGUCGAUCAGCUGUGAGGGUCGAUCAGCUGUUCAGAGGGACUUCAGGAAAGAGCCAGUCAGACUGAACAUGGGACACUUGAGGACAUGAAGGAAAGACCCUCCUCUGUCAGACUGAACACGGGACGUUUGAGGACUGGAAGCUAAGAAGCCCCUCCAGGAUCUGCUCUGGGAUAAGCCUCUCAUCAGGUGAAGCCCCUCCCCUUCAGGACCAGGAUCUGCUCUGGGAUCAGCCUCACAUCAGGUGAAGCCCCGCCCCUUCAGGACCAGGAUCUGCUCUGGGAUAAGCCUCUCAUCAGGUGAAGCCCCUCCCCUCCAGGACCAGGAUCUGCUCUAGGAUCAGCCUCACAUCAGGUGAAGCCCCGCCCCUUCAGGACCAGGAUCUGCUCUGGGGUCAGCCUCUCAUCAGGUGAAGCCCCUCCCCUUCAGGACCAGGAUCUGCUCUGGGAUCAGCCUCUCAUCAGGUGAAGCCCCGCCCCUUCAGGACCAGGAUCUGCUCUGGGAUCAGCCUCUCAUCAGGUGAAGCCCCUCCCCUCCAGGACCAGGAUCUGCUCUGGGAUCAGCCUCUCCAGGUGCUGAGCUUCAGAGACAUCAAGGCUGUGUUUGUGGAAAUAAAGAGUGAACUGAA